AAAUCUCCAUGCGAGAAAUCGCAACGAAGACAAAAUAAUGUUAUUUUAUUGUUUUGACGAUGCAAAAGCUUACAUAAAAAGAAAUGAAAUUGAUACGAAUAACCUACAUAAUUGGUUACAGCACAAAAAACUUGGGUAAUUCAGACAAAGACAGUUAGCAGUGAGCAACAUUCAUAUGCUAAAUAGAAAACAAUGCAUGCAGUGCAGCUCUCCAAAAAAUUGGACUGUCCUGCUUCUAUCAUUCUGAAGGAAGUGUUGAUAUUCACCCCUGAAAAGGGUUCAUCAAGCGAGCUGGACAAAAAAAUGGCUGCUUCUAAUGUGAGGAGUGAUCUGAGUAAAGGCAUCAAGAAGAUAAUGGUGGUGUUUCCUAACAUCGAACACAAGUACCAUACAAGUGGAGAGGUACUGAUAUGUAAAGUAACACUCUGUAAAGUUAAAUUUCUGUUGAUUUAUUUGCUGUAACAUGUGAUCAAAAUUGUCAACAGUUGCCCCAUCAUGGGGAUUUCUUGUUUA